CCAGUACCGUGAGGGAAAGGCGAAAAGAACCCCGGCGAGGGGAGUGAAAAAGAACCUGAAACCGUGUACGUACAAGCAGUGGGAGCCUCUUAAUGGGGUGACUGCGUACCUUUUGUAUAAUGGGUCAGCGACUUAUAUUCUGUAGCAAGGUUAACCGAAUAGGGGAGCCGAAGGGAAACCGAGUCUUAACUGGGCGUUAAGUUGCAGGGUAUAGACCCGAAACCCGGUGAUCUAGCCAUGGGCAGGUUGAAGGUUGGGUAACACUAACUGGAGGACCGAACCGACUAAUGUUGAAAAAUUAGCGGAUGACUUGUGGCUGGGGGUGAAAGGCCAAUCAAACCGGGAGAUAGCUGGUUCUCCCCGAAAGCUAUUUAGGUAGCGCCUCGUGAAUUCAUCUCCGGGGGUAGAGCACUGUUUCGGCAAGGGGGUCAUCCCGACUUACCAACCCGAUGCAAACUGCGAAUACCGGAGAAUGUUAUCACGGGAGACACACGGCGGGUGCUAACGUCCGUCGUGAAGAGGGAAACAACCCAGACCGCCAGCUAAGGUCCCAAAGUCAUGGUUAAGUGGGAAACGAUGUGGGAAGGCCCAGACAGCCAGGAUGUUGGCUUAGAAGCAGCCAUCAUUUAAAGAAAGCGUAAUAGCUCACUGGUCGAGUCGGCCUGCGCGGAAGAUGUAACGGGGCUAAACCAUG
rnacentral:rRNA from 1 species